rnacentral:misc_RNA from 1 species
GAUGAAGAACGCAGCGAAAUGCGAUAAGUAAUGUGAAUUGCAGAAUUCAGUGAAUCAUCGAAUCUUUGAACGCACCUUGCGCUCUUUGGUAUUCCGAAGAGCAUGCCUAUUUGAGUGUCAUGAAAAUAUCAACCUUGACUUGGGUUUUGUGCUCUAGUCUCGGCUUGGAAUUGGGUGCUUGCCGCUUUUACGAGCGGCUCACCUUAAAUGUAUUAGCUGGAUCUGUCUUUGAGACUUGGUUUGACUUGGCGUAAUAAGUAUUUCGCUAAGGACAUUCUUCGGAGUGGCCUCGUUUCUAGGACGCUUGUCCGCUUUCCAAUACAAGUUCCACCUCGUGGACAUGACUUUUUAUUAUCUGGCCUCAAAUCAGGUAGGACUACCCGCUGAACUUAAGCAUAUCAAUAAGCGGAGGA